rnacentral:rRNA from 1 species
GACGAACGCUGGCGGCGUGCCUACUACAUGCAAGUAGAACGCAGUUGCGCACGCGUGAGUAACGCGCAGGUAACUGCCUCAUAGCGGGGGAUCACUAUCGGAAACGAUAUCUAAUACAGCCUACUGUGAGAUGGACCUGCUUUGUAUUAGCUAGUUGGUGAGGUAAAGGCUCACCAAGGCGACGAUACAUAGCCGACCUGAGAGGUUGAUCGGCCAAACUGGGACUGAGACACGGCCCAGACUCCGACGGGAGGCAGCAGUAGGGAAUCUUCGGAAAUGGACGGAAGUCUGACCGAGCAAGGGCGCGUGAGUGAGGAAGGUUUUCGGAUCGUAAAGCUCUGUUGUUAGAGAAGCGGUAACUAGCCAGAAAGGGACGGCUAACUACGUACCAGCAGCCGCGGUAAUUC